rnacentral:rRNA from 1 species
CUGCCAAUCAGGUUCGUCGGGAAAUCCACGCGCUCAACGUGUGGGCGUCCGGCGAAUACCGAUUGGCUUGGGACCGGAGGACCCGAGGGGUACGUCCGGGGUAGGAGUGAAAUCCUGUAAUCCUGGACGGACCACCGGUGGCGAAAGCGCCUCGGGAGGACGGAUCCGACGGUGAGGGACGAAAGCUGGGGUCACGAACCGGAUUAGAUACCCGGGUAGUCCCAGCCGUAAACGAUGCUCGUUAGGUGUGGCGCAGGCUACGAGCCUGCGCUGUGCCGUAGGGAAGCCGAGAAACGAGCCGCCUGGGAA